UACGUAGGCAGCAAGCGUUGUUCGGAGUUACUGGGCGUAAAGGGUGCGUAGGCGGCUUGGUAAGUGUGGUGUGAAAUCUCCCGGCUCAACUGGGAGGGUGCGCUACAAACUGCCGGGCUAGAGUGCGGGAGAGGAGAGUGGAAUUCCUGGUGUAGCAGUGAAAUGCGUAGAUAUCAAGAGGAACACCAGUGGCGAAGGCGAGUCCCUGGACGACACCUGACACUGAGGCACGAAAGCUAGGGGAGCAAACAGG
rnacentral:rRNA from 1 species